rnacentral:misc_RNA from 1 species
GGGAAAGCAUACAGCUCUUCGCUUUCCUCUCCUCUGCCCCAAACGGCCCCCCAAUACGCAUCAUUAACUUCUCCAUUACUUCUCUCUCUCUCUCUCUCUCCCUCAAGUCUCAACACCUGCCUAUUUUUAAAAUAAUUAAAAGUAGAAGUCAAUCAGAAUACAAGGGCCAAAAUACAGAGAGCAUCAGUUUUGCAAAAUAGUAUGAAGAAGAAUGCGAAGAAGCUAAUAUCAAAGGAUUGAUAUUAGUAAAGCCAUUUUCUAAAAAAUUAUAGUAGGUAAACCUUAAGUUCUAGUAUGUAAUUCUGUUUUCUUUUGCUUGGAAAUAAAAAAUAUAAGCCAACACAAAUUCUAGUCUAAGCAAGCAUACUACAUAGGCUACAGUAACUAAGUAGCAAAGAAACUGUAAUGGACAUUUUUUAUGACUUAACCCUUAAGGGGAAAAAAACAACUAGAAAAACAAUGGAUGACGGAAGUAUAAUGUGGCGGACAUGUAGCAAGCAAGAAUCGGAUAAAUUUGACCUAAUGUCACUCACUAAUGUCCACAACUGCAUGGAAAGCACUCCAAGCCAUAAGAACUGUUUUCCUUUAGUUCAUUUUAAAAGGGAUUAAACUCUAUGUGAAAUAAGCAUUAGUUGGCCACAUUAAAAUCAGAACUCAUGCAUAUGGGGACAAGAAUAAUUAAAAAAUGAUAUCAAGAGCUGUAUGUAACUAAAGAAAGACUCUGUAAUUAAGACCAACAAAAGGAGAUUUACAUAACAUAUGUUUGAAACUUUGUCUUUCCCUUUUUAUUGAUAAAUAAUUGCACAAUUUAAGCAUAACCGAGGCAUGGUUUGAUGUGCUCAGGAUCUAACAAGUGGCUCAACAGGACAACUAGAGUUUCAUUAACCAAAUGUAGACAGCUGCAGUAGAAAAGGCAAGGUCUUUUUUUUAAUUAACUUUUAAUUUGGGACUUCUUUUUCUUUUUCUUUUAACUGAAGCAAAUGAAGAAAUAUUAGGUUUACUAAAUUUUGCAAUAAAAGAAAAAUAAGUCAACUACCAUAUUUUGUUGACCUUAUAAACCUUUGAAACUCGGUUUCUGGAGGCUUUUCAUAAGUUAUUUCCUCACGGGUCUCAUGGCUUGUGACAUAUGGAAGAUCGGAUAUGGCAUCUUGAAGAACUGAGGCCUUUUCUAGUUCAUGAGGUUGGUCUUCAUUAUAGGCAACAGUAUUCCGCUCAAACUCAGGUGGAGGCCAAUAUCUGACAAUAACAUCAUGAGUAGGAAGUGGAAAUUGGGGUAGUUUCUCACUAGCAUGAGCUCCCCAUAAGAAAACACGCAACCGGAACUGUGGAAGACCAUAACAGCCAGCUGCAAUGGUUCCAAGCCUUGCUUGGUAUUUCAUAUGUACCAAACGACUUAAAGCGUAUCUUGCAAAAGAAGCUUUAUCAAAUCUAAGAAUGUCGACAACAUUUUCCAUCAAUACAAAUUUAGGCUUCAAGAACUGCACUAUGUCCAUGAAGACAACAAUCUGACGAUUUCUUUCAUCAGCAAGUGGAGAAUUGACAUUUCUGUAGCGAUUAUAGCCACUAAUCCCUUGGCAUGGAGGUCCACCACAAAUUACAUCAACAUCACCGGGAAGUGGCAAGAUCUUGGACUUGAAGCCAUGCCUUACAAAAUUCCUUAUGCACUCUUGGCAGUUGCUUAAGCCUUCAAUUGGUUCCCAUGUAUCUUCACUUGUACUACAACCCUUCCAAUGAACCUUAAAUUUCAGUCCACGUUUUCCUGUCUCAUUAGGAUCGCCAUAACAAAUAUCAACAAGUCUUGAAACUUCAUAUUCACCGGGAGGGAUAUCAUCAUCCUUUGGAGAACUUUUAUUUUCAUUUUCAUUGGCUAUUGUCGAAGUCAUUGAUCUUAAUCGAUAGAUACCUUCUACGCCCUUGACUACAUAUUUUUUGCAUAGCUUUUCCCAUUCCUUCAAUAGUUCAAGAAAAUCCUCGGCGGCUUCAUUUCUAACAUGUGUUUCCGGAUGAUUUAGCUUCAAGCUUUCACAUGCGGACUUAUCACUAUCGAGGGCCCAUCUCUAAAAUUAAGUGUAGAAACUAAGAAAUAGGAAACUAAAGAAUAAACUGGAAGUAGCUUUAAGAUGAAAACCAGGAAAUGAAACUUUUCAUAUUUCAAAGAAAGUACCGUUACAAGAUCAAUACAGGCAAGUUUGGCACCCAGGCAUAACCCUGUUGACAUUCCCCCACAACCAGAAAAAAGAUCUAAUAGGGCCAAUUCUGCUUUGUAACUUUCACAAUUGGCCAUAUUUUCCAAUAAAGUAUUACUAGAUGUUUUGGAAAAAGGCUCAGCUGCAUUGCGUGUCAAUGAAUUAUGUAUGUUGAACGACUCAUCAAUCUGCAACAUCUGAAAUGAGGAAUAGUCCACAUUGUAUUCCAUGUCAAAAUAGAAGCCAGAUGGAGGAGUGGAACGAGACUUUGAACCUAUCAUAGGUGGUAUCUUUACAACACUGACUUUUGAAAUAAUGCAGUCUAUUGGAUUAUCAUUCAUUACUGAUGAAUAAAAUAAACGCUUCUUGUCAUGAAAAGCCGCCUCAUCUUUUAUAACUGUAUCUUCAGCUCUGUAAAACCAUUGAACCCUAAAAUAAUCUUCUCCAUCUGUUGUUUUGAAAAACUCUACAAUCUUGCCAACGUGCUUUUGCUCUCCUUCACCCUUUAUAUAUGCACAAUCCCCAAGAUCAAAGAUGGACCCACCAAUUUUAGCUUGAGUGUAAUGGCACUCCACAUUCCAAACAAUCUUAUCUUCAUCAUCAUCAUCUAAUAUGAGCCUUCGAGAAUUAGAUCUUUGACUCUUCAUUUCAUACCGCCAACGCCAUCUUUCUUGUGCUUCGUCAUUUGGGACAGGAUCUCCAAUUAGGGAACAGAUGAUGUUUUGUUUCUUCUCUGAACACAAGUGCUUAAUCUUCUCUAGAGAGCGCAGUUUACCUAACUUGUUCUCUGGAGGGUGCUUCCCACCUGAUUUAGGCAACUCAAUCAAACUACUCUUUGUUUUGCCCUUUUCAACUCCAAAAUCAGAGUUGGUGAUUCUGGGAGACAACAAGUCAUCCUCCAACAUUUCCAAAUCAGAAUUCUCUGAAAAGGUCUUAACCCUCUUAAAGGGUUGUUCAUCCAACGAAUCAGACAAUCCACAGCAAUCAUCACCCUGCCAUGAAAGUAGGGGCUUGGCUCCCAAUUCUACCGAUGCCCUUAAUUGGGAAGAAUGAUUUUGCAAUGUGGGUUUUGAUUUUGAACAGCUGCUUUCAGUUCCAACUACAGAUGAGGACAGUCUAGGAGAUCUCCGCAACACCUUCUCCUCCAUUGUCAAGCUUUGACUUUUACAUUGACUCUUAAUCACCUAAGCGUAUGGAGGAGUUCUUGGAUGAACGGCAAGAGAAUCUCGGAGAUCUCCUGUUAGAUUUCAGAUUUAUUGAGCCCACAUUGUGGGCUGGAGGAUUGCGACUGAAUUUUGGGAUCUCCUCAAGCGAAAAUAGGGGUUACGAAUCUGUAGAUGGACUGGUUGCGUUUAAAUUUCAACAAAGAGAGAGUUAAAAGACUUUUUUUUAUUUUUUAAUUAUUCUUUUUUCAGAUAAUUUUUGUUUUUCC